rnacentral:rRNA from 1 species
AGUGAAUUGAAAGAGGAACGACCACACUUUGUGUGGAGUCAGCACAGGUGGUGCACGGCCGUCGUCAGCUCGUGCCGUGAGGUGUUGGGUUAAGUCCCGCAACGAGCGCAACCCCUGCUAUUAGUUGCCAGCGGUAAGGCCGGGCACUCUAGGAGGACCGCCGCCGACGAGGCGGAGGAAGGGGGGGAUGACGUCAGGUAUCGUGCCCCUUAUAUCUUGGGCGACACACGCGCUAC